UACGUAGGGGGCAAGCGUUGUCCGGAUUUAUUGGGCGUAAAGAGCGUGUAGGCGGCCAGAUAGGUCCGUUGUGAAAACUGGAGGCUUAACCUCCAGCGAUCGAUGGAAACCAUCUGGCUAGAGUCCGGAAGAGGAGAGUGGAAUUCCUGGUGUAGCGGUGAAAUGCGCAGAUAUCAGGAAGAACACCCGUGGCGAAGGCGGCUCUCUGGGACGGUACUGACGCUGAGACGCGAAAGCGUGGGGAGCAAACAGG
rnacentral:rRNA from 1 species